AUGUUGGCUACUGUCUUGACUCCACUGAGGUUGAUUUUUUCGAAGUUUGUUGAGAGCUACUACUCAAUUGCAAUGAGGAAGCAUGACAUGGUGCCUGACCAUAGCUUUUUUGAGGGAUUAGUGGCAUGUGUAGCUGCCAUUGCACCAAAGGAUCAUUACAAGAAUCUGGAGGAAGGUAGCAUCGUUCUUAAGAAGUCAAAAACAUUCAGCUUUUGUGAAGAAGGUGUGCAUUUUGAAGGUGAAUGUACUCCAGUAAAGAGUGACAUUGUUAUCUUCGGAACCGGAUUCAACGGUGAUCAAAAGAUCAAGGACAUGUUCACAUCAGAAUACUUUCGGAGCAUAGUCGUUGGCUCAACAUCAACGACCGUGCCACUUUAUAGGGAGUGCAUCCAUCCAAAGAUUCCACAGCUCGCGGUCAUCGGCUAUUCCGAGAGCUUGACAAAUAUCUAUACAACAGAGCUUAUGUCCAAGUGGAUAUCACAUUUUAUGGAUGGUGGUUUCAGAUUGCCAGGUGUCAGAGAAAUGCAGAGGGAUGUCCUUGAAUGGGAGAAGUUCAUGAAGCGCUACUCUCGAGACUAUUUCCGUAGGUCAUGUGUUGGAAUUGUUCAUAUAUGGUACAAUGAUCAACUAUGCCAGGACAUGGGAUGCAACCCAAGAAGGAAGAAGGGUUUUUUCUCUGAAUUAUUUGAGCCUUAUGGUCCUUGUGAUUAUGUUAAUCUUCACCCCAAGUAA
rnacentral:rRNA from 1 species